rnacentral:rRNA from 1 species
UACAGAGGGUGCGAGCGUUAAUCGGAAUUACUGGGCGUAAAGCGCACGUAGGCGGACUAUUAAGUCAGGGGUGAAAUCCCGGGGCUCAACCCCGGAACUGCCUUUGAUACUGGUAGUCUCGAGUCCGGAAGAGGUGAGUGGAAUUCCGAGUGUAGAGGUGAAAUUCGUAGAUAUUCGGAGGAACACCAGUGGCGAAGGCGGCUCACUGGUCCGGUACUGACGCUGAGGUGCGAAAGCGUGGGGAGCAAACAGG